GACGAACGCUGGCGGCGUGCUUAACACAUGCAAGUCGAACGGAAAGGCGCUGCGUUUGCGGGGUGCUCGAGUGGCGAACGGGGGAGUAACACGUGAGGAACCUGCCCUUGACUGUGGGAUAACUCCAGGAAACAGGGGCGAAAACCGGAUAGGAGCUCUUGCAGCAUGGGGGGGGUUGGAAAGAGUCGGCGGUGGGGGAUGGACUCGCGGCUUAUCAGCUGGUUGGGGGGGUAGGGGCUUACAAAGGCUUUGACGGGUAGCCGGCCUGAGAGGGUGACCGGCCUCCUUGCGCCUGCGAUACGCCCCAGUCUCCUACCGGCCGCAGCAGUCGAGAAUCUUACACAGUGGGCGCGCGCCUGUUGCAGCAACCCCCCGUUCGUGAUGCCCUCCUUCGGGUUGUGAACCGCUUUCGCCUGUGACGUACCCUUCUUGACGGUACUUGGUCAGGAAGCCCCGGCUAACUACGUG
rnacentral:rRNA from 1 species